GGAGAAAACAUAGGUGCCAGUGCGUGAUUGGUUAAAUUUUGUUACCUGGGGUACUGAAUAAUGUGAUAGGUUUAGUGAAGUUAAAGGUGGUAGCUAGUUUUACCUAUAUAAUGUAACCAAAAAACCCAGUGCUCUUUGGGAACCAUCUCCAGACUGGAAUUUAACAUCAAGCUGCUAGAACUCUGACCUCUCUGCACGACCGUGACGUGCAAAGGCAUCACUGGAACCCCCAGACGAGAGAAUCCUGACUGGCCAUCGGGUGAAUUUUGUCUGUAUAUUGGAAGUGGCAGUCUGCAUCUAACAUCAGGGCAUUGAACGACCUGGAAAGUACAUCUCAAAUCAGGAAAUUCGUCCAAUCCGAUCCUGUAUUGCAAGCAAUGGACCCGGAGCAGCUCUGGCUAUAAUGUCCAUCCUGACAUCUGCAAAGUGCUUUCCAUUUCCAUAUGGAGAUUAGUGAACUGGAGCAGCAGUGGCUGAUUGCUCCAUUACAUAGCCCCGUCUCCUUUAAUGGUUUGAUAAAAGGAGGGUGACAGGAAGAUAAAUAGAGAUAAUACUUUAGGCUUCUUACACUAGAACCAUUAUCAUUAAAGGCAUUAAUUAGCUUAUAAUACAGUGUAUAGAAACAUCAAACACAGCCAUUCUAAGGAGAAGUAACCUGAUCAUUGGCAGUAAUAUGAUAGCAUAGCUUUAGCACAUAGCAAGCCUUCAAGAUGGCUGGACCUGCAACACAGCAUUUCAGGGGAGAAUUCCCCUGGCCGCAUCGCAAACAACAUUACAAACGUUAACAAAAAACCCCAUAAUUACAGGAUGGGCCUCGAUAGACCUGGGCGUCAUAAUGGACUGGAUAGCCUUUAACAUUCAAGUCACUGGCUCCAACCCUGGCCAGGUUGGGAGAGACUAAUGCUUGUUAGCAUUUGGAGGAUGAAAUGAAUUAUGUUGGUAGGUUGCAGUCCAGAUUCUGCUUAUCUCAGGUACUUAUACGGCUCCCAUUACUGUAAUGUCUGAGCAUCCCACUCUAUUUAGUGUAUUUAUCCUCACAACUCUUCUAGGAGGUAGAGCAGCACUAUAUCCCCCUUUUACAGGGCUGAGGGACACAGACGCUAUGUGACUUGCCUAAGGCCACACAGGAAGUUUGUGGCAGAGCAACCCCACACUCCCCAACCCCACGCUCGUGCCAAACUGCUGGAUCACCCUUCCCUUGGGGACAACAGUCAGUAACACAGAAGCCACAGCUACAAUGAGCACUCUCGAUGCCAACAGCCGCACAACGGCCAAGGAGUGACUACUCCAUGAAAUCGUGCUGCAGUGGGCCUCCGGGGCUCAUUUUCUGGGGGUGUGGUGAAGGCGAAAGAGACGCAUGCACUGCUGAUCCCAGUGCUAUCGCUUCUCUGCAUAGCUGUGGAGGAAUUCAGGCUCCUGGGCUGGGAAUCCAGCUUUACAUUAACAGAAUUUUCUUAAAAGAACCAAUCCCCCCAAAUUCCAAUCACUAAAUGGAUGUUUAGAGUGAAGCUGGUCAAAAAAAUAAAAAAAACCCUGGAGAUUUGGGGGAAAAUUCAUAAUGUCUAAUAAAGGAAUCAGUUACGAA